CGACCAGAGAGGAGCGUCGGGCGCGAGGGGGUUUAAGGGGUAAGAUGAACGCAGCCCUCUCUUGCUGCUCGUCCCCGCCGCGCUAAAGCGGCGCUAAAGCGUGGCCUAAGUACCCCCCAUCGGUAGCACACUCCGGCCGGUGUGCGCCCGUGACGGCCACUCGGGGGUCGGGCGGGCAGGAGCGGCCAGGAGGGGUAGACGGGGGUUUUCAAAAGGUACUGUAAGGAUUAGCCAGCAGCAGCUCCGUAAACGACGACGGUACGCACGUCCACGUCUGGACCCACCACGGCGACCGCGAAUGCUAGGCUGGCACUCGGCCGAAUACCCCGUCCAAGGGCCGCCUCAGUUGCCCUCGUCGCGGCCGCCGGGGCCGGGCGGAUCCGGUCGUCCCCAACGUAGACUGCGGAUCUGCGGACAUGCGUGCGUGCCUACGUUCGUCUCCCAGUGUUCCACACGCAAAACUGUGCGAGGUGGAAGUCCCAGCAGAGACAAAAGAAACUCAAUCGAUCCACAUAAGGUGAAGAAGUCAAUUCAAGUCAACUUUACUCCUAUGAACUAAAACUGUAGCGGCUUUUGCCGAGGCGAAGAACAUGUGGUUGCCUGGCCCUGGGUGCUUUUUUGGGAAAAGUUUGGUAGUUUCAUUACGGGUUCAUUCCUUUGGAGAUGGUCCACGUCAUAUUCAGUUGUGAUCGACGAGUACGACCUUCUUUUCUAUCCUUUUGUGACUUUUUUGUCAACGUUAGUCCUACUUGUUCCACUCCUUUUUAGUUUGGAAGUACCCAAAUCAAUUUAUAACACGUUCGUUUUAUACCCAGUUAA
rnacentral:rRNA from 1 species